rnacentral:rRNA from 1 species
UACAGAGGUCUCGAGCGUUAGGCGGAAUCACUGGGCUUAAAGCGUGUGUAGGUGGAUCGUUAAGUACCUUGUGAAAUCCCACGGCUUAACCGUGGAACUGCUUGGUAUACUGGCGGUCUUGAGCCAGCUAGGGGCUACCGGAACAAAUGGUGGAGCGGUGAAAUGCGUAGAUAUCGUAAGGAAGACCAGUGGCGAAGGCGGGUCUCUGGACAGUUCCUGACGCUGAGGCACGAAGGUCAGGGGAGCAAACGGG